rnacentral:misc_RNA from 1 species
AAGUCGUAACAAGGUUUCCGUAGGUGAACCUGCGGAAGGAUCAUUAACUAACACGUAUCCAAACGUUAAACCCCCCUGUGAACCUUCAGUCGUACUCGUACGUCGUCACCGGGCGCAAGCCCCCUUAUCACACCCUGCUCUACCUAUGGUGAUCCUGCGGGAAGUCCUGCGGUCGAACGCCGAAACCGAACAACUGUUACAAUGGAUAUCUUGGUUCUC